rnacentral:rRNA from 1 species
UACGAAGGGGGCUAGCGUUGCUCGGAAUCACUGGGCGUAAAGCGCACGUAGGCGGCUUUCUAAGUCAGGGGUGAAAUCCUGGAGCUCAACUCCAGAACUGCCUUUGAUACUGGAGAGCUUGAGUCCGGGAGAGGUGAGUGGAACUCCGAGUGUAGAGGUGAAAUUCGUAGAUAUUCGGAAGAACACCAGUGGCGAAGGCGGCUCACUGGCCUGGUACUGACGCUGAUGUGCGAAAGCGUGGGGAGCAAACAGG